AGAGUUUGAUCCUGGCUCAGGAUGAACGCUGGCGGCGUGCUUAACACAUGCAAGUCGAACGAAGCACUUUAUUUGAUUUCCUUCGGGACUGAUUAUUUUGUGACUGAGUGGCGGACGGGUGAGUAACGCGUGGGUAACCUGCCUUGUACAGGGGGAUAACAGUUGGAAACGGCUGCUAAUACCGCAUAAGCGCACAGCAUCGCAUGAUGCAGUGUGAAAAACUCCGGUGGUAUAAGAUGGACCCGCGUUGGAUUAGCUAGUUGGUGAGGUAACGGCCCACCAAGGCGACGAUCCAUAGCCGACCUGAGAGGGUGACCGGCCACAUUGGGACUGAGACACGGCCCAAACUCCUACGGGAGGCAGCAGUGGGGAAUAUUGCACAAUGGACGAAAGCCUGAUGCAGCGACGCCGCGUGAGCGAAGAAGUAUUUCGGUAUGUAAAGCUCUAUCAGCAGGGAAGAUAAUGACGGUACCUGACUAAGAAAGCACCCGGCUAAAUACGUGCCAGCAGCCGCGGUAAUACGUAUGGUGCAAAGCGUUAUCCGGAUUUACUGGGUGUAAAGGGGAGCGCAGGCGGGUGCGGCAAGUCUGAUGUGAAAGCCCGGGGCUCAACCCCGGUACUGCAUUUGGAAACUGUCGUACUAGAGUGUCGGAGGGGUAAGCGGAAUUCCUAGUGUAGCGGUGAAAUGCGUAGAUAUUAGGAGGAACACCAGUGGCGAAGGCGGCUUACUGGACGAUAACUGACGCUGAGGCUCGAAAGCGUGGGGAGCAAACAGGAUUAGAU
rnacentral:rRNA from 1 species